UUUGUACUCCCUCCGUCCCAAAAUUCUUGUCUUAAAUUUUUCUAAAUACGGAUGUAUCUAGUUACAUUUUAGUGUUAGAUACAUCCGUAUCUAAACAAAUGUAAGACAAGAAUUUUGCGACGGAGGGAAUACUAC
rnacentral:pre_miRNA from 1 species